rnacentral:rRNA from 1 species
AUCAACGGUGAUAGCACGUUGAAUUCACCAGUUCCCGACGGAUCACUGAAGUUAAGCAAAGUUACGCGUGGUUAGUACCUGGAUGGGUGACCAUCUGGGGAAUCAUGUGCUGCUGGGU